rnacentral:rRNA from 1 species
GCCAUGGUCCAUGCCACCCUGAACAGGCCCCAUGUCUGAUCUCGGAAGCUAAGCAGGAUUGGGCCUGGUUAGUACUUGGAUGGAAGACCACCUAGGAAGACCAGGUACUGUAGGCA